GUGCUCCUGGGAGACUGUCAGGAUCACCUGGUCUGGGAGUAGCUACAGCAACUAUGCCUGGUUCCAGCAGAAGAUCCCAGGCAUUGCCCCUGUCACUGUGAUCUACUGGUAUGACAGGAGACCCUCAGGCAUCCCCUCACAAUUCUCCGGAUCCCAGUCCGGCUCCACGGGCACGUUAACCAUCACUGGGGUCCAGGCCGAGGACGAGGCUGUCUAUUUCUGUGUUGGCAAUGACGGCAGCUACGUGGGUGCA